rnacentral:rRNA from 1 species
CUUGCAUCAGAUGACGACCGGCGAACGGGUGCGUAACGCGUAUAGAAUCUGCCUUGUACAGGAGGAUAGCCUUUAGAAAUGAAGAUUAAUACUCCAUAAUAUUGGGAAGUGGCAUCACUAUCUAAUUAAACAUUUAUGGGUACAAGAUGACUAUGCGUCCUAUUAGCUAGAUGGUAAGGUAACGGCUUACCAUGGCAACGAUAGGUAGGGGGUCUGAGAGGAUUAUCCCCCACACUGGUACUGAGACACGGACCAGACUCCUACGGGAGGCAGCAGUGAGGAAUAUUGGUCAAUGGAGGCAACUCUGAACCAGCCAUGCCGCGUGCAGGAAGACUGCCCUAUGGGUUGUAAACUGCUUUUAUACAGGAAGAAACAGUCGUACGUGUACGGCCUUGACGGUACUGUAAGAAUAAGCACCGGCUAACUCCGUGCCAGCAGCCGCGGUAAUACGGAGGGUGCAAGCGUUAUCCGGAAUCAUUGGGUUUAAAGGGUCCGCAGGCGGUCAAUUAAGUCAGAGGUGAAAUCCCAUAGCUUAACUAUGGAACUGCCUUUGAUACUGGUUGACUUGAGUUAUACGGAAGUAGAUAGAAUAAGUAGUGUAGCGGUGAAAUGCAUAGAUAUUACUUAGAAUACCGAUUGCGAAGGCAGUC